rnacentral:rRNA from 1 species
UACAGAGACCUCAAGCGUUAUCCGGAAUCAUUGGGCGUAAAGCGUACCGAUCGGUGGUGUAACAAGUCAGAUGUGAAAUCCCAAGGCUCAACUUUGGGACUGUCAAUUUGAAACUGUUACGCUAGAGGGGCAAAGAAGGAAGCUGGAACGAACGGUGUAGUAGUGAAAUGCGUUGAUAUCGUUCGGAACACCAAUAGCGAAGGCAGGCUUCUGGGUGCCACCUGCACUGCCAGGACGAAG